CCUACGGGAGGCAGCAGUGGGGAAUUUUGGACAAUGGACGCAAGUCUGAUCCAGCCAUGCCGCGUGCGGGAAGAAGGCCUUCGGGUUGUAAACCGCUUUUGUCAGGGAAGAAAAGUCUCGAGCUAAUAACUUGGGAUGAUGACGGUACCUGAAGAAUAAGCACCGGCUAACUACGUGCCAGCAGCCGCGGUAAUACGUAGGGUGCAAGCGUUAAUCGGAAUUACUGGGCGUAAAGCGUGCGCAGGCGGUUCUAUAAGACAGAUGUGAAAUCCCCGGGCUCAACCUGGGAACUGCAUUUGUGACUGUAGAGCUGGAGUACGGCAGAGGGGGAUGGAAUUCCGCGUGUAGCAGUGAAAUGCGUAGAUAUGCGGAGGAACACCGAUGGCGAAGGCAAUCCCCUGGGCCUGUACUGACGCUCAUGCACGAAAGCGUGGGGAGCAAACAGGAUUAGAUACCCUGGUAGUCCACGCCCUAAACGAUGUCAACUGGUUGUUGGGAAGGUUCCUUCUCAGUAACGUAGCUAACGCGUGAAGUUGACCGCCUGGGGGAGGUACGGCCGCGAGUAGAACGUACGAAAGAAAGUUAGACGGCGUGAGACGUGACCGACGGACGACGACGAGGGAGGAGG
rnacentral:rRNA from 1 species